UACGGGGGGGGCAAGCGUUGUUCGGAAUUACUGGGCGUAAAGGGCUCGUAGGUGGCCAACUAAGUCAGACGUGAAAUCCCUCGGCUUAACCGGGGAACUGCGUCUGAUACUGGAUGGCUUGAGUUCGGGAGAGGGAUGCGGAAUUCCAGGUGUAGCGGUGAAAUGCGUAGAUAUCUGGAGGAACACCGGUGGCGAAGGCGGCAUCCUGGACCGGCACUGACGCUGAGGAGCGAAAGCGUGGGUAGCAAACAGG
rnacentral:rRNA from 1 species